UUAAGCAUAUCAAUUAGCGGAGGAAAAGAAACCAACAGGGAUUGCCUUAGUAGCGGCGAGUGAACAGGCAAGAGCUCAGAUUUGAAAGCCUUUCGGGGCAUUGUAUUUUGAAGCCUUGGUCCUGGGAAACCGAUGUCUAAGUCUUCUGGAAAGGAGCGCCAUGGAGGGUGAUAGCCCCGUACGACAUUGAACCCACUGUAGGACCUUGGCAUGGAGUCGAGUUGUUUGGGAAUGCAGCUCAAAUGGGUGGUAUGCUCCAUCUAAAGCUAAAUAUCUGCGAGAGACCGAUAGCGAACAAGUACUGUGAAGGAAAGAUGAAAAGAACUUUGAAAAGAGAGUGAAAAAGUACGUGAAAUUGUUGAAAUGGAAGGGUAGGCCGCUAACCACGUAGAGUCGUGUCUGGGGGGAAGAUAAAAGCUGAAGAAUGUAACUCCU
rnacentral:rRNA from 1 species